CGGUCCUCUUUGCCAGUCCGGCGAAGGUGCACUUUUAUCGGACACUUUUAGCUUGACGAGCGGGAAAUAAUUGUAGCUUUCAAUCAUUGUUGUGUGUUUUUUAUUUUAAUGUCGUGGUAUUUCACAUGUCUAGGGACAGACGAGGACACGAGGGCCUUAAUCCCGUGGCGGUCGGAUAACAAAUCCCUCUUCACGGGGAAGAGGAACGCCUCCGUGACUGGAUUUGAGGUCUUCAUAAAGGAGAGAGGGCUUGGGAGGUUGGAUCCCAAGCUCGUGAAAAAGAGGUGGGAGAACCUCGUUCACAAAUAUAAGGUCAGAUUAAGCCUAGUGUCCAACAAAGCCUAGUCCAAUAAAGUAUCUUUCUUGAUCAUAACUUUGCCCCUGUAGAGUAACACACUUGCACAAUGUAGAGAUGGCAUGGCUAGUGAGUAUUUACAUGCAGUGUACAUGUACAUGGAUGCAAUAUAUUAUGAUUAGGGUGAUUGUUGUUACUCUUGUUCUUAUCUAUGUAUUGUGCUCAAAGUAAUGUAAAGUAAUCGUAUGGUCAGCCUUCAGUUCAAUAACCAAUUACCAGAUCAGUUGAAGGCGCAAUGAUGUGCAACUCCAGUUUGGCUGUCUUUUCAUCCGCAGGAGCUCAAGAAACCCCGGACGGGUGUGAGCACAGAGGGGGGUGGGGUCACUGCUGCUUCUUGGAAGUGGUAUGCCCUUAUGGAUGAGGCACUGGGGACCAGGCCAUCUGUGACCCCUCCAGUCCUCUUUGCCUCAUCCAGCCGCUGUGGUCACACCCCUCCCGGUCAGGAAUGCAAGUGGAGCUUCCUCCACAGUGUCAACCCCAAAAAGACGGAGGGUAGACAAUGUGGAGAUUGCCAAGGUCAUUGAAGAAAAUGACAGGAGGAUCUCCGAGGCAUGGGCGGAGAUGGAGGAGAGACAUAGGAGAGCAGAGGAGGCCAGGUUGAGCGAGGCAAGGGAGGUUGCCGAGAGAGAGGAGCGGCGACACAGGGAGGCCCUGGAGAGGGAAGAAUGUCGCCACAGGGAGACGGUUGCCUUAGAGGAGAGAAGGUUUCAUUUUCUCAGAGAGAGUGAGGAGAGGAGAGAGAGAGAGGCAGCCGCCAGAGAGAGGGAGACAGCAGCAGAGAGGAGGGAGACAGCAGCGAGAGAGGAGCGGCGAGAGAGGGAGACAGCCGCCAGAAUGAGUGAGGCAGCUGCCAGAGAGGAGCGCCUCCUCACCCUUUUGGAGAGAAUUUCUGGACAAAAAUAAAGCCUGGUUACUUAAGAUUUAUGUACAUGUCUGUUUACUAACACUUAACCCGUAGGGGGCUGAGGCCUGUUUUACUUUUCUAGGAAGUCAAUAGUGACCACUGAAUUUCCAUACCCUUAUCAUAUGAGUAGCUGUCAUUUGCUAAUGGGCGGGCUGUUAGGAGCUCAUACUGAAAUGUGCAAGAGAUUAGUUAUAUUCUUCUCAUAAAAUGCUUAUUUAUAUUUUAGUUUUAAACUGCAUACAUUUGAAAAGUAGUCUCUUGUGGAAUUUUAGAGGCAUAUUGACAAAAUAAUUUGCUAAACAAGUGAAAUGGUGAUGGUGAAAUAUUACAAACUCAUAAAUUGUUUGCCAAUUAUAGGGCAAUUCUGGUGUUCAGAACCCCCUAUAAAUAUUUAUUGCAUUAAUUUAAAUGUAGUCAUGGUCUGGGACAUAGCACUGAAUGGCUAUCCUUUCUCUGUUUUCUGCCCCAGAGACGUUUCCUGGAGGUGCUGGUGCUGGUUCUGGUGCUGGCUGGUCCUCUGCUGCCCUCCCGACAUCUGCAUCUGGCUCCAGCAGGUCACCGUUGGUGAGGCAGAUGUUGUGGAGCACAGUGCAGCAGACAAUGACCUCUGGCACAAACCUCACAUCCACCUCCAGGGCCUUCAAGAAGAUGGACCGCCAUCGCGUCUUCAGUAUCCCAAAGGACCUCUCCACAACACACCUCGCCUUUGACAGGCAGCAGUUGUAGCGUGCUUGGAGGUGGUUGCGGACAGGCUGCCUGAAGGGGGUCAUGAGGCAGAUGGGUUGGGACAGGCAGGGGUAGCCACCAUCCCCAAGGAUACAGUAUCCUGGUGGAGGGUAUGACUGCUCAUAGUAGAUGGGGCUGUUUUUUAGGACCCUGGCAUCAUGCACUGAGCCUGGGUAGCCCACACACACAUCUAUAAAUUUGCACUUAUCAUCACAGAUGGCCUGCAGCUGGAUGGAGUGAAAAAGCUUCCUGUUGAAAUAACAGGCAGCAUCCUCCGCUGGGGGCUUUACUCGGAUGUGGCAGCCAUCAAUAGCCCCCACCACUCUGCUGAAGGCUGCUGACCCAGCUAGACGGGCGAAGCGGGCACCUAGGCGUGGGAGUUCCUCUCCUGUAGGGUGGCGGACAACGGUGUACAGGAGCGCAGCGAUCUGCCCACUCAUCCUGUGCACCAGCCGGUGAACGGUGGCCCGGGGCAUGUCGAAGGCCCUGGCCACCACCCGAUAGGAGGUGGCGCUGGCAAGCCAAAAAAUAAAAACAAGACAGGAGAUCUCAGGGCCCCAACCAUGGUCACAAUCAGUGCCCAGCACAGCCAUGAGGGCGUUAAAUGACUCUCGGGUGAGCCUGAAGUCCACCCUCAUGUCACUGUGGCCAUCAAAAUACAAUGCCAGCAGUGGCAUUGCAACAUUGAUACGGCAGCGCCGCCUGGGACUGGGUGGCUGCUGUAGAGUGUGUGGGGAGGGGAAGGGAAGAUUAUAUUAAUAUGUAAGUAAUUUUAUCAAUAAAAUAUUGUCAUUGAG